UCUUUUCAGCUUGGAAAAGGAGAGGAAACCGACAGCGAUAUCUCUCUGUGUGCGCCCUGAUUAAAGCAUUGGACUGACUUUAGUUUCUGCAUAGGAGUUCACAAAGGGAACUCCAACUACAGAAUGCGUCCCGGUUACAAAAACAGUUGACAUUUGUGUUCUUUGGUAUCUCACCAACUAAUGGAUGGAUUGCCACCCAGGAUGAAUCUUAAGCCACUCUUGUGAUGUGAAACAAAUACAGGGAACCUAUACAUAGCUGUCAGCAGGGAGUUCAACUUGAGAUGGAACUCUACAAAAAUACACACUUGAGCCCACAAAGG